rnacentral:rRNA from 1 species
GAUGAACGCUGGCGGCGUGCCUAAUACAUGCAAGUCGAGCGAACAGACGAGGAGCUUGCUCCUCUGACGUUAGCGGCGGACGGGUGAGUAACACGUGGAUAACCUACCUAUAAGACUGGGAUAACUUCGGGAAACCGGAGCUAAUACCGGAUAAUAUAUUGAACCGCAUGGUUCAAUAGUGAAAGACGGUUUUGCUGUCACUUAUAGAUGGAUCCGCGCCGCAUUAGCUAGUUGGUAAGGUAACGGCUUACCAAGGCAACGAUGCGUAGCCGACCUGAGAGGGUGAGCGGCCACGCUGGAGCUGAGACACGGUCCAGACUCCUACGGGAGGCAGCAGUAGGGAAUCUUCCGCAAUGGGCGAAAGCCUGACGGAGCAACGCCGCGUGAGUGAUGAAGGUCUUCGGAUCGUAAAACUCUGUUAUUAGGGAAGAACAAAUGUGUAAGUAACUAUGCACGUCUUGACGGUACCUAAUCAGAAAGCCACGGCAAACUCCUG